rnacentral:rRNA from 1 species
ACUAAAUAGAUACCCGGGUAGUCCACGCCGUAAACGGUGGGCACUAGGUGUGGGACCCAUUCCACGGGUUCCGUGCCGUAGCUAAACGCAUUAAAGUGCCCCGCCUGGGGAGUACGGCCGCAAGGCUAAAACUCAAAGGAAUUGACGGGGCCCGCACAAGCGGCGGAGCAUGCGGAUUAAUUCGAUGCAACGCGAAGAACCUUACCUGGGUUUGACAUAUACCGGAAACAUCUGGAGACAGGUGCCCCGCAAGGUCGGUAUACAGGUGGUGCAUGGCUGUCGUCAGCUCGUGUCGUGAGAUGUUGGGUUAAGUCCCGCAACGAGCGCAACCCUCGUUCUAUGUUGCCAGCGGUUCGGCCGGGAACUCAUAGAAGACUGCCGGGGUCAACUCGGAGGAAGGUGGGGAUGACGUCAAGUCAUCAUGCCCCUUAUGUCCAGGGCUUCACGCAUGCUACAAUGGCUGGUACAAAGGGCUGCAAUAUCGCAAGAUGGAGCGAAUCCCAUAAAGCCAGUCUCAGUUCGGAUUGGGGUCUGCAACUC